GGGUCUAUAGUGACAAACAAAUGCUACAAAUGGAAAUGAUGACAUAAAAAUCAUGAUUAAAAGGUUUAUGCUGAAGCAA
rfam:Mesocricetus auratus contig160302, whole genome shotgun sequence.